UUUUUUUUUUCUUAAUUUUUUUCUGGAAAUAAUUUUUUUUUUUGGUUUUGCCCCCCCCCCCAUCACUUUUCUAAUGGUCCGUCCCUUAUUUAUAAUCUCUAUGGUCGAUGACACUUGUGACGUCAGGUACAUACGGGACUUUGGAGGCGGGUUUUGGCGGGAAAAUCUGUAAUGUUUGGAGAAGACAAGAUGGCGCUGGUUACCUCGUGUUAUAUCAAACGGCAUUUUUGUUCACAAAUACCCGCUUAUUUUACGUUAUAGCGACUGGUUCGUUUUGGAAAUUAUAACUCAAUGGACGGGGAAAAUGGUUCUGUAUUAAAGAGAAAAUGAUGUGCAGUUAUUGUGAUGUUAUUUGUUGUGAAAGACGGCCCGAAAUUUCGCUACUUCGCAGUACUGGUUUAUAAAACAUUUACAAGCAACAGCAAUUGAAUUAUAUGACAAAGAAACCAAUGUAUACAAGCCAAUCAAGUUCUUCAGUUUAAAGGUCUGUUUACUUUUUAAUAAUUAGUUCAUUUAGUUGUACAUUAAUACGAAGUACUGGAACAGUACGCCUAGUCACAGAAUAGGAAGGUAUACCCAUUGAACUAAAAAUAACUGGAACGAUACCUCCAGCCGGAAAUGUGAAGCCAUGCCCAGGCAUGCCCACUGUUGUCAUGCUCAGUCUUUUCACGUAACGGAAAUGAAUGCGGGUUUUUUAAAUUUCCAAAACUGGGUAAAAAAAUGCACUAAAACAUGAUUUAAAACGACGUAAAAUGCACCUACCAGUACAUUUUUUACAAUAAAAACAUCCUUCAAAACUCUAGAGUAAAAUAUUUUUAAUUUAUUUGUGUAGAAUUCAUAAUGGGUCAUUCCCGAAAACAUCCAUACCAGCCCCACAGAGGAAAUUGGAAGUUAACCCCCCUACCCCCUUCGGAUGUUCUAAUACAUUUACUAUUAUCAGAAACAUUUUUUUCUUCCCUCCCUUUCCGGACGGCAGAAAUUUCCUCCGUGGGGGGAGUAUGGAUCUUUUCUGGAACGACCCAAUUAAAUUUCCUUUUUUGAAAAAAGAAACGUUGAGCGAGGAGUGGAGCUUGCCGUGGUCUAAUCAUAAGUAUUUGUGUGAAUUUCCCUAUUUUGCUCAUUUGUUUUCCAAUUUAUUCGUCUGAAAGUUAGGAAAAAAGGUAUUCUAACAAGAUCAAACUAUCAACCACAGUUUAAUUAUGUUUUGUAGUAGAGUAUUUAUUAAGUUUUAAAGGUACAAAAUAACAAGUAUAAACAUUAAAGACAUUAAGAAAGUUUUUUUCGCGGACAAGUAUUUCAUGUCGCGAUUAUUCACAUUCGGCAAGAAAUACACAGAACAAGUCGUCAACAAAGGCAAACAAAGUGAUAGAUACAGAUUAAAUAAACUUAUCUUGUUUAAAGUGCCCCUGACACAAAAAUUUUUUUCAGUCUAUUGAAAGUACUCAUUUAGUAUAGUGCUCUAGCGAAAGAAUUUUUCGAUUUCAUCAAAACGAAAAAAUUUUAAAGCUGUUUGAACACGCAAAAUUUGGGCUUUUGGUUGGCAGGCGUCCGUGUUCGAAGGAAACUGGAACGAGCGAUUUUUGUUACGUCACGCAAGUGAGUCGGCGUAUAUUCUUUUAUUCGACUAUACAAGUACUAUGAACUCUAGGCGGAUAUAUAAGUAGAUUUGUGAUCGAAAAAUAUAUGCCUUUUUACUGUGUUAACGUAACCCCCCUAUCAAGGACAAUGGUUUUACCAUAUCUCUGAAGAAUUCCUGACAUAAAAGAGAUCCCCUGAAGAAUUCCUGUUACCCCUGAAGAAUUACAAUUUUUACAUCUGACCCCUAAAGGAAUUGCAUUUGAAAUAACCAACCCUUGAAGAAUUCCACAGGAGAAUUUGUUUACCCAUGAGGAAUUCCGGAGUUAAAAAGGGAGAUUAUGGAUAUUAAAUGAAUAGCCAAUUUUCUGGAAAAUUUAGCCCAAUUUUCUGGAAAAUUUCCUGGUUGUUUUCCCUGCAGCUUGUUUAUAAACAUGCUUGUUUAUCUAUAGCAUCAUUUGUAGAAAAGGUGUUGAAAGCCUUUUUUGAAAGCAAUGACGUAUUAUCAAAUGACAAAUGAUCAUGCGAGCGACACUUGCUAGGAAGAUGGCGACUGUGGGACAACUAUAUAAUAGUUUUGUUUGUGGAAACACCACAUAAAUUUAUUACUGCAAAGCUUUCGAUCCGUAAGCCUGGAUCUUCAUCAGUGCUAAUAUGUGACUUGUUUAAUUCACACGCCCUUUUUAUAUACAAAAAAUGUCUUGAUCUGUUGGCUCACAUAUUAUUAGCACUGAUGAAGAUCCGGGCUUACAGAUCGAAAGCUUGGCAGUAAUAAAUUUACGUGGUGUUUCCACAAACAAAACUAUUAUAUGUUUUAUCGCCAUGCAAACAUACAAAGAACUUAUUGUGGGACAACUUUUUUACUGAAGUUAUACAUCUUUCUUCACUUAAUCUGUGGCUCAGCUGGCUAGACCUUGAUUCUUGCCUGUGGUCCCCCUUUGCAUUUGACCCAAAUGUUUUGGUCAUUUUAUAUUGCCAAUAUAAAUCUUUUUGGCAUAGAAAUUAUACAUUUGGAAUAAUAAUUUUGUAUGCUGCAUUCAAUCUAUUCUCCAUUCAGGGAGAUUCUUUUGUAAAUACCCACACCAAUCAGAAGUCUGUAUUUUUAUGCGAAGACAGAAAUUGGCAUCCCAGAGAGUAAAUUAUAUUCAAGUUUAGGGCAUGUUGCAGCUCUAUAUCUUGCCGUUGCAAGUUGCUUUACGUUUGAUGUUUGUUCUGGGAUAAAAUAUUGAAUUAUACCUUAAAUUAAUGUUUUGUGAAAUUUAGUUUAAAUAAUUUAGUAGAGAGAUGAGUGCAUAAAGAAUAGGGAUUUUGAAGCUAAAUAUGUUAUAAAAUUUGUCAUUUUAGUGAAUGCAUUCUUUUCUGCUCGUCCUGGUUGUUGCAAGGAGACAUCAGGCAUUGUAAUGGAUGGAUGGUGAUGUGUCGCUGGCAAACCUACACCGUGCGCAUUUUCUUGGUGGAUAUCUUGGGCAAAUGUGCAAUAUGACGAGGGAUAUCUUGGGCAAAUAUCUUAUAUAAAUUGGUACGAUUGCUUACCUUAAAGCAGGAUGAUGUUGUAAGGUUAGUGGAUAUUUAUAAUCGUG
rnacentral:lncRNA from 1 species